rnacentral:sRNA from 1 species
GCCGGGUGUGGUGACGUGCACCUGUAAUCCCAGCUGCUCGGGAGGCUGAGGUGGGAGAAUCACUUGAACCCAGGAGGUGGAGGUUGCAGUGAGCCGAGACAGCCCUGCUGCUCUCCAGCCUGGGUGACAGAGCGAGACUCCGUCUCAA